rnacentral:rRNA from 1 species
GAUGAACGCUGGCGGCGUGCCUAAUACAUGCAAGUCGAGCGAACAGACGAGGAGCUUGCUCCUCUGACGUUAGCGGCGGACGGGUGAGUAACACGUGGAUAACCUACCUAUAAGACUGGGAUAACUUCGGGAAACCGGAGCUAAUACCGGAUAACAUGUUGAACCGCAUGGUUCAACAGUGAAAGACGGUCUUGCUGUCACUUAUAGAUGGAUCCGCGCCGCAUUAGCUAGUUGGUAAGGUAACGGCUUACCAAGGCAACGAUGCGUAGCCGACCUGAGAGGGUGAUCGGCCACACUGGAACUGAGACACGGUCCAGACUCCUACGGGAGGCAGCAGUAGGGAAUCUUCCGCAAUGGGCGAAAUCCUGACGGAGCAACGCCGCGUGAGUGAAGAAGGUCCUCGGAUCGUAAAACUCUGUUAUUAGGGAAGAACAAAUGUGUAAGUAACUAUGCACGUCUUGACGGUACCUAAUCAGAAAGCCACGGCUAACUACGUG